GACGAACGCUGGCGGCGUGCCUAAUACAUGCAAGUCGAACGCUUUUUCUUUCACCGGAGCUUGCUCCAUCGAAAGAAAAAGAGUGGCGAACGGGUGAGUAACACGUGGGUAACCUGCCCAUCAGAAGGGGAUAAUACUUGGAAACAGGUGCUAAUACCGUAUAACACUAUUUUCCGCAUGGAAGAAAGUUGAAAGGCGCUUUUGCGUCACUGAUGGAUGGACCCGCGGUGCAUUAGCUAGUUGGUGAGGUAACGGCUCACCAAGGCAACGAUGCAUAGCCGACCUGAGAGGGUGAUCGGCCACACUGGGACUGAGACACGGCCCAGACUCCUACGGGAGGCAGCAGUAGGGAAUCUUCGGCAAUGGACGAAAGUCUGACCGAGCAACGCCGCGUGAGUGAAGAAGGUUUUCGGAUCGUAAAACUCUGUUGUUAGAGAAGAACAAGGAUGAGAGUGAAAUGUUCAUCCCUUGACGGUAUCUAACCAGAAAGCCACGGCUAACUACGUGCCAGCAGCCGCGGUAA
rnacentral:rRNA from 1 species